rnacentral:rRNA from 1 species
GACGAACGCUGGCGGCGUGCUUAACACAUGCAAGUCGAACGGAAAGGCCUCUUUCGGGGGGUACUCGAGUGGCGAACGGGUGAGUAACACGUGAGUAACCUGCCCUUGACUUUGGGGUAACUUCAGGAAACUGGGGCUAAUACCGGAUAGGAGCUCCUGCUGCAUGGUGGGGGUUGGAAAGUUUCGGCGGUUGGGGAUGGACUCGCGGCUUAUCAGCUUGUUGGUGGGGUAGUGGCUUACCAAGGCUUUGACGGGUAGCCGGCCUGAGGGGGUGACCGGCCACAUUGGGACUGAGAUACGGCCCAGACUCCUACGGGAGGCAGCAGUGGGGAAUAUUGCACAAUGGGUGGAAGCCUGAUGCAGCAACGCCGUGUGCGGGAUGACGGCCUUCGGGUUGUAAACCGCUUUCGCUCAUGACGAAGCUUUGUGUGACGGUAGUGGGUAAAGAAGCACCGGCUAACUACGUG